GAGAGUUUGAUCCUGGCUCAGAUUGAACGCUGGCGGCAUGCCUAACACAUGCAAGUCGAACGGAAACGAUGGGAGCUUGCUCCCAGGCGUCGAGUGGCGGACGGGUGAGUAAUACUUAGGAAUCUGCCCAUUAGUGGGGGACAACAUUCGGAAACGGAUGCUAAUACCGCAUACGCCCUACGGGGGAAAGCGGGGGAUCUUCGGACCUCGCGCUAAUGGAUGAGCCUAAGUCGGAUUAGCUUGUUGGUGAGGUAAUAGCUCACCAAGGCGACGAUCCGUAGCUGGUCUGAGAGGACGAUCAGCCACACUGGGACUGAGACACGGCCCAGACUCCUACGGGAGGCAGCAGUGGGGAAUAUUGGACAAUGGGCGCAAGCCUGAUCCAGCAAUGCCGCGUGUGUGAAGAAGGCCUGCGGGUUGUAAAGCACUUUCAGUAGAGAAGAAAAGCUUACGGUUAAUACCCGUGAGUCUUGACGUUACCUACAGAAGAAGCUCCGGCUAACUCCGUGCCAGCAGCCGCGGUAAUACGGAGGGAGCGAGCGUUAAUCGGAAUUACUGGGCGUAAAGCGCGCGUAGGCGGCUUUGUAAGUCGGAUGUGAAAGCCCUGGGCUCAACCCAGGAAUUGCAUUCGAUACUGCAGAACUAGAGUAUGGUAGAGGGAAGUGGAAUUUCCGGUGUAGCGGUGAAAUGCGUAGAUAUGAUACAGAACACCGAUCGCGAAGGCAGCUUACGAAACUAUAACUGACGCUCAGGAACGAAAGCGUGGGUAGCGAACAGGAUUAGAUACCCUGGUAGUCCACGCUGUAAACGAUGAUUACUCGUUGUCGGCAAUACACAGUCGGUGGCUAAGCGAAAGUGAUAAGUAAUCCACCUGGGGAGUACGAUCGCAAGGUUGAAACUCAAAGGAAUUGACGGGGGCCCGCACAAGCGGAGGAGCAUGUGGUUUAAUUCGAUGAUACGCGAGGAACCUUACCUGGGCUUAAAUGUAGAUUGCAUGAAGGAAACCUUUCUUUUCUUCGGAACUAUUUACAAGGUGCUGCAUGGUUGUCGUCAGCUCGUGCCGUGAGGUGUCGGGUUAAGUCCCAUAACGAGCGCAACCCCUACUUUUAGUUGCCAUCAGGUCAUGCUGGGGACUCUAAAGGAACUGCCUACGCAAGUAGUGAGGAAGGUGGGGAUGACGUCAAAUCAGCACGGCCCUUACGUCCAGGGCUACACACGUGCUACAAUGGCCGGUACAGAGGGCAGCCACCACGCGAGUGGGAGCAAAUCUCCAAAGCCGGUCUCAGUUCGGAUCGAAGUUUGCAACCCGACUUCGUGAAGCUGGAAUCGCUAGUAAUCGCGCAUCAGCCAUGGCGCGGUGAAUACGUUCCCGGGCCUUGUACACACCGCCCGUCAAGCCAUGGAAGCUGGGAGUACCUGAAGUCGGUAACCGUAAGGAGCCGCCUAGGGUAAAACUAGUAACUAGGGCGAAGUCGUAACAAGGUAGCCGA
rnacentral:rRNA from 1 species